AAACGCUACAUUUGUUUCUAACUUCAAUCUGAUUAAACGAUGUAUUUGUUUCUACGUUUGUAAAAAAGUCUGUUUACCAACAAAAUGUGCAUGCAUUAUUGAAGUUCAAACAGGGUCAGUAAACACUGAUUAAACGAUGUAUUUGUUUCUACUUUUGUAGCGUUUAGAAAACAACAUCAAACGCCAAACAACGUUUACAAAAU
rnacentral:lncRNA from 1 species